AGCGAACGUUUGCGGCGGGCCUAACACAUGCAAGUCGAACGCACUAGCAAUAGUGAGUGGCGCACGGGUGCGUAACACGUGGGUAAUCAACCCUUCAGCCUGGGAUAACGACUCGAAAGGGUCGCUAAUACCGGAUACGGCGCGAGGAGGCUUCGGCUUCUCACGAGAAAGCCACGCAAGGGGCACUGAAGGACGAGCCUGCGGCCCAUCAGCUAGUUGGUGAGGUAAGAGCUCACCAAGGCUAAGACGGGUAGCUGGUCUGAGAGGAUGAUCAGCCACACUGGAACUGAGACACGGUCCAGACUCCUACGGGAGGCAGCAGUGGGGAAUAUUGCGCAAUGGGCGAAAGCCUGACGCAGCCACGCCGCGUGAGCGAUGAAGGCCUCGGUCGUAAGACUCUGUGGGAGAGACGAAUAAGACGUGGCUAAUAUACCACGGCGAUGACGGUAGUCUCCUUA
rnacentral:rRNA from 1 species